GACGGAGGAGGCAAGCGUUGUCCGGAAUUAUUGGGCGUAAAGGGUACGUAGGCGGCUGGUCAAGUCUGGGGUCAAAGGCCACAGCUCAACUGUGGGAAGGCCCUGGAAACUGACCGGCUAGAGUGAGGUAGGGGUUGCGGGAAUUCCCGGUGUAGCGGUGAAAUUCGUAGAGAUCGGGAAGAACACCUGAGGCGGAAGCGCGGAACUGGGCCUCAACUGACGCUGAGGUGCGAAAGCUUGGGGAGCGAAUGGG
rnacentral:rRNA from 1 species